rnacentral:rRNA from 1 species
UACGUAGGGGCAAGCGUUGUCCGGAUUUAUUGGGCGUAAAGAGCGUGUAGGCGGCCAGGUAGGUCUGCUGUGAAAACUCGAGGCUUAACCUCGAGAUGUCGGCGGAAACCAUCUGGCUAGAGUCCGGAAGAGGAGAAUGGAAUUCCCGGUGUAGCGGUGAAAUGCGCAGAUAUCGGGAGGAACACCUGUGGCGAAAGCGGCUCACUGGACCACAACUGACGCUGAUGCGCGAAAGCUAGGGGAGCAAACAGG